GACGAAGGGGGCUAGCGUUGUUCGGAAUUACUGGGCGUAAAGCGUGUGUAGGUGGUUGCCAUAGUCAGGUGUGAAAGCCUUGAGCUCAACUCAAGAAAUGCACUUGAUACUGGGCAGCUAGAGGACCGGAGAGGAUAGUGGAAUUCCCAGUGUAGUGGUGAAAUACGUAGAGAUUGGGAAGAACACCAGUGGCGAAGGCGGCUAUCUGGACGGUUUCUGACACUAAGACACGAAAAGCGUGGGGGAGCAAACAGG
rnacentral:rRNA from 1 species